rnacentral:misc_RNA from 1 species
GAUGAGGGAACAUGAUCUGGCAGUGCCUCCAGACCAUUCACACUAGAAUCAGAUGGAAUCAAAGGGAAUUGCUCAGUUGAAGACACAGUCUCCACUGUAUCAUCAAUCCACUCCUUGAGAUCAGCCUGCUCCUCUUGCCUUUGCUCUUUAGCUUUCUGUUCUUUCUGCCUGAGUUUUUUCUGCCUCUUCUUCUCCAAGAGCUCAGCUUGUCUUCUCUGAGCAGCUUCUUCCUCCUCCACCAGCAACUGUUGGCACCUUAAAGCUUCAGCAUCCUUGUCAGCAAGCCAUGCUUUAACCAAUUUCUGUUCCACCAGAAAGCUGGUGCAAGCAACUAAAUUCUUUGUUUCGAGACCAAUCUUCCCAGCUUCCCCAUCAAAAAUAUAUUUUUGCAUUGAUACAGCUGUUCCAC